AUGAUCACUUAUGCUGAGCCAACUUUCUACAAAAGAAAAGCACAAUCGAGAACUGAAGAGGAGACUCACGUAGCGUAUGCAUCUGUCGCCAUAAGAAGAUGAUCAUUCUAAGAACCUGCUCCAGCUGUGUGAUAACUCUCACUUAAACUUCUGUAUUCAGUCUAUUAUUGAGUUUUGAGAUUGUUCAACAUUUAUAAAGACAACGUGAUAUAAAACCCACAAUACUUUAAUUAAUCUCUGGAACACAAAUUAGUUAUUUUUAAUGUUCUAUUAUCUUUUUUUUUCAUCCAUUAAUUUACUUGAUAUGGAAGAAUGAUCCUAAUUAUUUCUUGCACAUCAGAUAUGCAGGUUUAAGUUUCUAUGUUUAGCAUAUUUGAUUUGCUCAACACAUGUGCAUCAAAGUUUCUAUGUGAAUCAAAGCAUAAUGUGUUUAUGAACUAUUUGGAGCUUGAAGAGGUUGCUUGCGUGGACUUUCAGUGGA